UACCAGCACCCCGAGUGGUCGGGACGAUUAUUGGGCCUAAAGCAUCCGUAGCCGGCCUUACAAGUCCUCCGUUAAAUCCAGCUGCUUAACAGAUGGGCUGCGGAGGAUACUAUAAGACUAGGAGGCAGGAGAGGCAAGCGGUACUCAGUGGGUAGGGGUAAAAUCCGUUGAUCCAUUGAAGACCACCAGUGGCGAAGGCGGCUUGCCAGAAUGCGCUCGGCGGUGAGGGAUGAAAGCUGGGGGAGCAAACCGG
rnacentral:rRNA from 1 species